AGUCGAACGAAGCACUUUAUUAUGAUUUCUUCGGAAUGACGAUUUAGUGACUGAGUGGCGGACGGGUGAGUAACGCGUGGGUAACCUGCCUUAUACAGGGGGAUAACAGUUAGAAAUGACUGCUAAUACCGCAUAAGCGCACAGGAUUGCAUGAUCUGGUGUGAAAAACUCCGGUGGUAUAAGAUGGACCCGCGUCUGAUUAGCUGGUUGGUGAGGUAACGGCCCACCAAGGCGACGAUCAGUAGCCGACCUGAGAGGGUGACCGGCCACAUUGGGACUGAGACACGGCCCAAACUCCUACGGGAGGCAGCAGUGGGGAAUAUUGCACAAUGGGGGAAACCCUGAUGCAGCGACGCCGCGUGAGCGAAGAAGUAUUUCGGUAUGUAAAGCUCUAUCAGCAGGGAAGAAAAAAUGACGGUACCUGACUAAGAAGCCCCGGCUAACUACGUGCCAGCAGCCGCGGUAAUACGUAGGGGGCAAGCGUUAUCCGGAUUUACUGGGUGUAAAGGGAGCGCAGGCGGUGCGGCAAGUCUGAUGUGAAAGCCCGGGGCUCAACCCCGGGACUGCAUUG
rnacentral:rRNA from 1 species